ensembl:lncRNA
GGACCCCAACACCCUUCACCACCUCAACUCCCUGCACCUGUAUUUAAAAUGAGGAGAGUUACUCAAGGAACGGCAGUCCCUCCUCAACUCCCUCCACCCCCCGCACCGGCCCUCAACAUGAGGCGAACAGAGGAGCCCUCUUCAAGCCUGGCCUACAGACCAACAUGGCGAGGGGGAGGAAUGACCGAUACCAUUCCCUGCUCUGUGGCUGAGGUCCACAUCCUUAGCCUGCUGGAGACCAUUAAACAACAACAAGACCAGCUUGUGGCAAAGGUGAACUACCUCAGCAGCAGGCUGAACAGCAACCCCAGGGCCAGAUGUUGAGAUGCUGGACAAUAUCCAGUUUCCCCUAGGACAAUUGGAGGCAUUUGAAAUGUUUUUAAAGGAACCGUCAAAUGGCCCAGCUCGACAGAGCGUGGUGCUGUGAGGAAAAACACAGUGACACGGUCAGCCAUGGAAGCAGAGGUCACCAAGCACGCAAUCAGGUGGUUCAACCUGGCAGCGGAUCGGGCAACGAGGAGACGUGUCCCGCCUCAAGCCACACAAACGGAGUAAUAGGAGAAAUAAGCAAUA